UACGGAGGGUGCAAGCGUUGUCCGGAAUCACUGGGCGUAAAGCGCACGUAGGCGGAUAUUUAAGUCAGGGGUGAAAUCCCAGAGCUCAACUCUGGAACUGCCUUUGAUACUGGGUAUCUUGAGUAUGGAAGAGGUUAGUGGAAUUGCGAGUGUAGAGGUGAAAUUCGUAGAUAUUCGCAGGAACACAAGUGGCGAAGGCGGCUAACUGGUCCAUAACUGACGCUGAGGUGCGAAAGCGUGGGGAGCAAACAGG
rnacentral:rRNA from 1 species